rnacentral:rRNA from 1 species
CCUACGGGUGGCAGCAGUGAGGAAUAUUGGUCAAUGGGCGCGAGCCUGAACCAGCCAAGUAGCGUGAAGGAUGACUGCCCUACGGGUUGUAAACUUCUUUUAUAAAGGAAUAAAGUGAAGCACGUGUGCCUUAUUGUAUGUACUUUAUGAAUAAGGAUCGGCUACCUCCGUGCCAGCAGCCGCGGUAAUACGGAGGAUCCGAGCGUUAACCGGUUUUGUUGGGUUAAAGGGGAGCGUGGAUGGGUUGUUAAGUCAGUUUUGAAAGUUUGCGGCUCAACCGUAAAUUUGCAAUUGAUACUGGCAGUCUUGAGUACAGUUGAGGUAAGCGGAAUUCGUGGGGUAGCGGUGAAAUGCUUAGAUAUCACGAAGAACUCCGAUUGCGAAGGCAGCUUACUAAACUGCCACUGACAUUGAUGCUCGAAAGUGUGGGUAUCAAACAGGAUUAGAUACCUCGGUGUC